rnacentral:rRNA from 1 species
CCUACGGGUGGCUGCAGUGGGGAAUAUUGCACAAUGGGCGCAAGCCUGAUGCAGCCAUGCCGCGUGUGUGAAGAAGGCCUUCGGGUUGUAAAGCACUUUCAUCGGGGAGGAAGGCGGUGAGGUUAAUAACCUCAUCGAUUGACGUUACCCGCAGAAGAAGCACCGGCUAACUCCGUGCCAGCAGCCGCGGUAAUACGGAGGGUGCAAGCGUUAAUCGGAAUUACUGGGCGUAAAGCGCACGCAGGCGGUCUGUCAAGUCGGAUGUGAAAUCCCCGGGCUCAACCUGGGAACUGCAUUCGAAACUGGCAGGCUAGAGUCUUGUAGAGGGGGGUAGAAGUCCAGGUGUAGCGGUGAAAUGCGUAGAGAUCUGGAGGAAUACCGGUGGCGAAGGCGGCCCCCUGGACAAAGACUGACGCUCAGGUGCGAAAGCGUGGGGAGCAAACAGGAUUAGAUACCCCGGUAGUC